ACAGAGGUCUCAAGCGUUGUUCGGAUUCAUUGGGCGUAAAGGGUGUGUAGGUGGCGCGCUAAGUCGGGUGUGAAAUUUCGGAGCUUAACUCCGAAACUGCAUUCGAUACUGGCGUGCUUGAGGACUGGAGAGGAGACUGGAAUUUACGGUGUAGCAGUGAAAUGCGUAGAUAUCGGAAGGAACACCAGUGGCGAAAGCGACUUCCUGGUCCAAUACUGACGUUCAUGUGCGAAAGCGUGGGGAGCAAACAGGA
rnacentral:rRNA from 1 species